AGCGUGCAAGCCCCAAAGCGAGCGACAUGUCCCUUUGGGGAGCAGUCCCUCUGCACCCCAGAGUGAGGAGGACGCAGGGGUCAGAGGACUCAUCUGAUGAUGUGAGAAGAGUUCAGAGGAGGGAGAAAAAUCGUAUUGCCGCCCAGAAGAGCCGACAGAGGCAGACACAGAAGGCCGACACCCUGCACCUGGAGAGCGAAGACCUGGAGAAACAGAACGCGGCUCUACGCAAGGAGAUCAAGCAGCUCACGGAGGAACUGAAGUACUUCACGUCGGUGCUGAACAGCCACGAGCCCCUGUGCUCGGUGCUGGCCGCCAGCACGCCCUCGCCCCCCGAGGUGGUGUACAGCGCCCACGCAUUCCACCAACCUCAUGUCAGCUCCCCGCGCUUCCAGCCCUGAGCUUCCGAUGCGGGGAGAGCAGAGCCUCGGGAGGGGCACACAGACUGUGGCAGAGCUGUGCCCAUCCCGCAGAGGCCCCUGUCCACCUGGAGACCCGGAGACAGAGGCCUGGACAAGGAGUGAACACGGGAACUGUCACGACUGGAAGGGCGUGAGGCCUCCCAGCAGUGCCGCAGCGUUUCGAGGGGCGUGUGCUGGACCCCACCACUGUGGGUU
rnacentral:sRNA from 1 species